rnacentral:sRNA from 1 species
ACUCAACAACAAACCUUCAGCACCAAAAUAUUGAAUGUCCGUCUGUUGAAGUUCACCCUUGUUACACUCUCCAUUAAUCCGGAAUCCUCCACAUCGCCGAAAAUGCCAAAGUCCAAAGGUCACAGACUUCAAAAAGCCCUGGUUGUCCGAAUAUUCUUUAACUGCCCAGACGGAAGUCAUUAUUCCGGACAAAGCGGAAAUGAAGCCGAUCGCCAAGCAGGUACAUCCCGCGAUUAAAAGUUUAUUCUUUGAGAGAGAAGUACACAUCUGGGGGGUGAGAUUCUUCGUCGAGAAUGAUGGUAAGCUUCUUAAUUGUGCAUAUCAAAACAUCAUAAAGAAAAGGAAUCAUAAGCCGGGGCACGGGCACUGAAGAUUCUACACGUGUAACUAAUCAGCAGCGUAACAGAAAUCUCAUCAAAGUUAAAAGCGACAAAACGUUACCAGAGUAAUUGACAGAAAUAAUAACUAUUGAUUAUAGGGAACUGAAUAAAGUCGUCAAGUUGAGACUUUAACAUCUUCAUAAAGUCCAAUAAAAGCAAUUACAAUGGCCCGAUUUGCCGAGAGCACCCAGAGCAGACGAAGAAUCACCGUGUGUUGCUCUGUAAGCUUGUACUCUUUAGAAACUAGAAUAUGGCCAUGGUAUUUCAAAUAUUGCACAUUUCACAAAUAAGUGUAAAAAGGGUACAUGAUUUUACGUUAUGUGGUUUUAUGGUUUACAACUUAGACAAAUUGUGCUUUCAAUGUCACCGUGCAGGUAAAACAAAUUGUCAACUUGAUCAAGGUCUAGAUCUGUUAUGAUGAAUUGAGAUACAAUACAUUAUUAUUAAAAUGCAAUUUAACAAUGGAUAAGAUACAAAAUGAGAGCUGCUAAUCUCUCUGUUAUAUGCUGUUUAGGGUUAACGCAAGGUUUACACUGAAUAUUGAGCUAGGCAUGCCAUGAAUUCAAUAUUUCUCUAGAUCCAGUAGGUGUUUUGGGUUUACACCACGUAUGCUCUGUACUCUGCAUUAUUAUGUACACAAAGUUUGUAAUAAACCUACUCCUCUC